GACGAACGCUGGCGGCGUGCUUAACACAUGCAAGUCGAACGGAAAGGCCUCUUUCGGGGGGUACUCGAGUGGCGAACGGGUGAGUAACACGUGAGUAACUUGCCCUUGUCUUUGGGAUAAAUUCCGGAAACAGGGGGGAAUACCGGCUAGGUGCUACUGCGACCUGGAGGGGGCUGGAAUGUAUCGGCGGUUGGGGGUGGCCUAGCGGCGUAUCGGCUUCUUGGUGGCGUAUUGGCAUACCAAGGGGUUGCCGGGUAGCCGGACUGAGGGAGUGACGGGCCGCACUGGGACUGAGAGACGGCCCAGGCUCCGACGGGAGGGAGCAGGGGGAAAUAUUGCAGGAGGGGUGGAAGCCUGAUGAUGCAGCGCCUCGGGCGGGAAGACGGUCUUCGGGUUGUAAACCGCUUUCGCAAGUGACGAAGCUUUGUGUGACGGUAGUGGGUAAAAAAGCACCGGCUAACUACGUG
rnacentral:rRNA from 1 species